GGACGAACGCUGGCGGCGUGCCUAACACAUGCAAGUCGAACGGGGUCGGCCCCUUCGGGGACUGACUUAGUGGCGAACGGGUGAGUAACGCGUGAAGAACCUGCCUUUCAGUGGGGGACAACAGUUGGAAACGACUGCUAAUACCGCAUAAUGUAUUCGGACGGCAUCGUCUGGAUACCAAAGCUUUAUGUGCUGAAAGAUGGCUUCGCGUCUGAUUAGCUAGAUGGCGGGGUAACGGCCCACCAUGGCGACGAUCAGUAGCCGGUCUGAGAGGAUGAACGGCCACAUUGGGACUGAGAUACGGCCCAGACUCCUACGGGAGGCAGCAGUGGGGAAUAUUGGGCAAUGGGGGAAACCCUGACCCAGCAACGCCGCGUGAAGGAAGAAGGCCUUCGGGUUGUAAACUUCUUUUACCAGGGACGAAGAACGUGACGGUACCUGGAGAAAAAGCAACGGCUAACUACGUG
rnacentral:rRNA from 1 species